rnacentral:ncRNA from 2 species
CGAUGGAACUCUGAAGAGCUCGACCAAUUGAUAUUUGGUUGACACCGAAGGAGAAAAUGUGUUGUUUAAUAUGCACACUUAAACUCUCAGGUAUAAUAUACAGAGGUGUAAAA